GUGCCAGCAGCCGCGGUAAUACGGAGGAGGCAAGCGUUAUCCGGAAUUAUUGGGCGUAAAGCGUCCGCAGGGGGCGCAUCAAGUCUGCUGUUAAAGGUCGGAGCUAAACUCCGGUAGAGCAGUGGAAACUGGUGCGCUAGAGGGCGACAGGGGUAGAGGGAAUUCCCAGUGUAGCGGUGAAAUGCGUAGAGAUUGGGAAGAACACCGGUGGCGAAAGCGCUCUACUGGGUCGCACCUGACCCUCAGGGACGAAAGCUAAGGUAGCGAAAGGGAUUAGAUACCCCUGUAGUCUUAGCCGUAAACGAUGGAUACUAGGCGUGGUUUGUAUCGACCCAAGCCGUGCCGAAGCUAACGCGUUAAGUAUCCCGCCUGGGGAGUACGCACGCAAGUGUGAAACUCAAAGGAAUUGACGGGGGCCCGCACAAGCGGUGGAGGACGUGGUUUAAUUCGAUGCAACGCGAAGAACCUUACCAGGGCUUGACAUCCCGCGAAGUUUGGGGAAACUCAGACGUGCCUACGGGAACGCGGAGACAGGUGGUGCAUGGCUGUCGUCAGCUCGUGUCGUGAGAUGUUGGGUUAAGUCCCGCAACGAGCGCAACCCUCGUCCUUAGUUGCCAGCAUUAAGUUGGGCACUCUAGAGAGACUGCCGGUGACAAACCGGAGGAAGGUGAGGAUGACGUCAAGUCAGCAUGCCCCUUAUGCUCUGGGCAACACACGUCCUACAAUGGUCGGGACAAAGGGGAGCAAGCUCGCGAGAGUAAGCGAAUCCCAGCAAACUCGGCCUCAGUUCAGAUAGCAGGCUGCAACUCGCCUGCUGAAGGAGGAAUCGCUAGUA
rnacentral:rRNA from 1 species